rnacentral:rRNA from 1 species
GAUGAACGCUGGCGGCGUGCCUAAUACAUGCAAGUCGAGCGAAGCGGGGACGGGUGAGUAACACGUGGAUAACCUCCUAUAAGACUGGGAUAACUUCGGGAAACCGGAGCUACCCCGGUUAAUUAUAGAUGGAUAUGCGUUGCAUUAGCUAGUUGGUAAGGUAACGGCUUACCAAGGCAACGAUGCAUAGCCGACCUGAGAGGUUGUUCGUCCACACUUGAACUGCGACACGGUCCAAACUCCUACGUGAGGAAGCAGUAGGGAAUCUUCCGCAAUGGGCGAAAGCCUGACGGAGCAACGCCGCGUGAGUGAUGAAGGUCUUCGGAUCGUAAAACUCUUUUAUUAGGGAAGCGUUACCUAAUCAGAAAGCCACGGCUAACUACGUGCCAGCAGCCGCGGUAAUAC